rnacentral:rRNA from 1 species
UACGUAGGGUCCGAGCGUUGUCCGGAAUUAUUGGGCGUAAAGGGCUCGUAGGCGGUUUGUCGCGUCGGGAGUGAAAUCUUACAGCUUAACUGUGAACUUGCUUCCGAUACGGGCAGACUUGAGGCAUUCAGGGGAGAACGGAAUUCCUGGUGGUAGCGGUGAAAUGCGCAGAUAUCAGGAGGAACACCGGUGGCGAAGGCGGUGAUCUGGGCCGACACUGACGCUGUAGAGCGAAAGCGUGGGGAGCGAACAGG